CCUAUUCAGAGUAGAUCCCUUCACAAAUCAUUUAGGCUGCUGGUUUCCAAUAGGUUUACUCCAAGUAGAACUUAGACGAGUGUUUAUCAACAAAUCCACACAUUUAAAAAAUAAUAAUCCGAAUAACAUAGAAAUGACAGAGAACUGACUUAAUUGAUUGAUAUAGUGCAUUUAUAUUCUUCCUUUUUCCCCAGGAACUCAAAGUGGCCUACAUGGUUCUCCCCUUCCUCAUUUUACCCCUACAACAAUCCUGUUAGAUAGGUUAGGCUGAACACAAGGUCACACUCAGUGGGCUUCAUUGUCAAAAGUGGAUUUGAACCCUGGUUUCCCACAUCCAGUCCAGCACCCUAAGGACUGUACCACAAGAGUCUCUCAACUUAUGGAUAAACAAGUGCAGUAGCAAUUGGGACAGGAUAUAUUCUGAUUUGCUUAUCUUUAGCAAAGCCCACCCUUCAAUACAUCGCCCAUCAGGAGCCCCCACAAAUAUGUGAGGCACCGCUACAAAGCAGCAUCACAGGAACUUACUCAUUAGGUGGAGCACCUUCAUUAAGCUGUUUACGCUCUGUAAAAUAACUAGUGAUACAAAAGUGAGAUAUGGAUCUCAUGAUUUGUCUGACAUCUUGGGUUUGAUGAGGCCAACAGUUAAGGGGAGUUGUAACUGUGCCACUCACCAUUCCUGGGGUGCCUCACUUCCCAUGGGAGUGGCCAGAAGAUGGGUAUAAAGAGGAGCUCUGGUCCCCAAGCUCAUCAUUCGAAUCCAUUGAGACUUCUCCAUCGUUCCAGCACAUCUGCUAAACAAGGUAAGCUCAAUGCUCAGAUCAUCCUCCUUCCUUUGAAUGGAUGGAAACAUCUUCAGCUAUGCACUGAUGCAAUGAUAAUGCUAUUUGGGUAGGAGGCUGCAAAGGGUUGAUUCGGGUUUUUGAUACAGUGUGCAAUUCCUUCCAAUCAUUGGAGGGAGAGGGACUUUUUUCUCGAUGCAAAUGAGAAGUGGCUUGAUUUCCAACAGUUCUCCCUUUGUUCUCUGGGUAUUUGCUGCUAAGCUUUGGGGUGAAAUAUUGGUGCACAGUGUAGCUACUGUAUCCACCAACAUGCAGAAGCUUGUUGUAAUUGGAAUUGGGCGACAGUACUUGAGCAGCAGAGGUCACAGCAGAUGAAUUGGUUGCUUGAAUGAUAACUGCAGCUAAGCCAAAGUUUUCUUCAAGGCAUUUUAAUCCUUUUAAAUUAAAGGAUUACUCUGUCAGACAAAAAUUCACCCAGGAAUUGUUUCCGGCAGAGGCCUUAUACAUCCAUGCACAGUUUGCAGGGCCAGACCUGCUUAACUUGUGUAGAGGAGCAAUGUUAUCCCAUUAUCUGACCUCCAUAUUUACACCAGAUAAAUGGUUUGGCUUGUUAGCUUGCAGUCAUCCAGGAAAGCACUGAGGAAGCAGAUUCAAGGAAGAUAGUACAGGAAACAGCUGAAGCUAGUGAGUCUGGAGGUGGUCAAUCAGUGUCUGAGUUCCAUCACCACAAAGUAGGAACAAAAUAGAAAAAAGGGGAUACAGGACAAUACAAUCUGACAACACAACAUGGCACAUCAAUACAACAUGGUUAUGUUCUACAUGUGGGGAAAUCUUUUGCACUGGCUAGAUACGUUUACAUGACAGCUAGAAACAUAUCCAUCCAUCUACCUACCUACCUAUAGGUCUCAAAAUUUGUAUGCUAUUCAGUUGUUUGCAAAAUAAGGUUGUUGUGUUUUUUUAAAAAAAGAAACAGUAAAACUUUCCUUUUUUUUUUUUAAUGAAAACAUUCAAAGGAUAAUUAAAAUAACCAAUAAGCUAAAAGCCACAUUAAACCAUCAUUGUUUCUCAAUAGGCUUGAUUAAAGAAAGAUAUUUUAGCAGGGGCAGAAAAUACUACUGCAACCUGAUAUCAACUGUCAGGAAGUUCCAAAAUGUGGGUGGUGCAACACUAAAAUAUCAAUUUCUUAGAAAUGUGCAAUGAGUACCAUGUGGCAUCUGUAAGAGUGCCAGUUUCAGAGAUCAAAGUGUUUAAAUGAAUGGACAUUUAUGGAGAAAGGAAACUGGUCCUGAACUGUCUCUCCUUCCUGACACACGCACAAACAAACCAACACACAAACAUGCGUUCAACCAUGUGAUCCAACACACUGCCAGUCACCACCUGUACUCCCUGGUGCUGCAGCCUGGACACAAGUUGACCACCAUGAGAAUGAGGCCCUUUGAGAAAUGAGAAUUGCAGCCAGCAGUGUGCAUUAACUAUGCUUUCUCCACUUUCCAGGUCUAACACACCACACAAAAGCCGAAAGAUGAGCAAGCAAAGACAAAGCAGGGGGGGCUGUUGCUGCUGCGGCAGUUCAAGGGGCGGCUGCUGCUGCUGCUCUGGAGGUGGAGGAUAUGGCGGUGGCGGACAGUCCAGCGGAGUCAUUGUUAUACCAAGCGGAGGUGGAUAUGGAGGUGGAUAUGGAGGUGGCCAGCAAAAGAUCCCAAUGGUUGUUGGCGGAGGAUCUGGAGGGGUUUGCUGUGGAGCCAGUAGCGGUGGCGCAGUGUGCUGUGGAUCAUCCGGCGGCGGUGGCCAGUCUUCUGGGUGUUGCGUUGGAGGUGGAAUGGGUGGUGGAUAUGGAGGUGGAUAUGGAUAUGGCCAGCAAAAGAUCCCCAUAGUUGUUGGUGGAGGAUCUGGAGGGGUUUGCUGUGGAGCUAGCGGCGGCCGUGGUGGUGCAGUAUGUUGCAGCUCGUCCGGCUCCGGUGGCGCCGUUUGUUGUAGCUCAUCCGGUGGUGGAAGCUCGGGUGGGGUUAAGGUGAUUGGAGGAGGAUACGGUGGAGGAGGAUACAGUGGCGGCAGUGGGAAAACCAUUGUUGUGCCUGGUGGAAGCAGUGGUGGCGGCAGUGGCGGAGCUGUGUGCUGCAGCAGCGGCAGUGGCGGAGCUGUCUGUUGCAGCAGCGGUGGAUCUGGUGGUGGAUACUCACAGACCAAGUGCCCCAUUGUCGUCCCUCCAUGCAUUGGGCAAACGAAGCAGGUCUGUCCAUUGCCAAGCAUCAAGUAAACUGCAACAUUUGCCAAGCAACCCAAGAAAAGCGAACUUUGCUACCUCGCAUCAGCAUCCUGACAACGACAUGUUAAACCCAGGACACUUCUGCAUGUUGCUUUCUUUGCCCUUUCAUUCUUCAAUGGCAUUUUAUGCUUGCAUGUUCAAUGUGUGGCUCAUUCUUCAAUGUAACUUAUGAACGGCUGUGUGUGUUUGCGGUGGAUGGGAGUUCCCUCAUCCACCUACCCCUGCUGAUUUCCUUGCUUCAAUUUCCCAUAAUGCAUGGGAGAGAAUAAAACUUAUUUCAGAAUCAACACAUCUGCAGUGUCUUCUUCCAUCACCCCAUUGCCAUUGUCAUAAUUCAUCACACCUCCAUGGUUCUCCCAAAUUUUCAAAUGUUGCUGCAUAUUAUAGUUAUUCUACACCUUAUCUUCAACACAAUUUUCUCAGAUAAGAUCUCCUGCUGUUCUUAUUCAAAGCAUACUUGUGUUUUAACAAGAUCACAGUAGGUUUUUUUUAAAAAAGAAACAAUCUAUGAACAUUCCCCACAACUCCUUAAAGUCUGCCUCAUCCUUAUCUCUAAUUCUACUUGUUAAACUUGCCAAUUCUGAAAAAUUCCAUCAAUUUCAGCUGCCAAUCUUCUAAAAAAAAACCCCAAAAACAAAUCUUUACUUGGUACAAAAAGGAAGACAAAGAGCAGCCAAGUUGGAAUCUAUAGUGAAAGAAAUCCAUAAAUGGAGGACUACCACAGAGAAGAUCCAGUUCCUCAUACCUGCUUAUGGACUUCUCUCGGAGGUGGCAGGAAAAGGAGGACGUCAAUUGAUGAUCUCAGUAUCUGGGCAGCUGCACAUGGGGAAAGGUGGGGUGUUUUAGGUGGUUCCUAAGCUGUAUAAAAUUGAAAAGUUUGGAACCAAUCCUGAUGGAUUUGAAGGAACCAUUCUUCGAUCCAGUUACAAACUCAGGAAGUACAGCUAAGGUACACACACAACUCAGGCAGUUUCAAUCUAUUCCACACAAGAAUGUCCAUCACUCAAUAACACAACAUGUGAUAAAGGAAUACACCUGGAUGUUAAAGGUCAGUGGAGCGGCUUUCACUAUAGGGAACUCCCAUCAAACCUGGACAGCAGUGGUUAUUGGUCCCCAAUGGGACUGGUAGGGCAGAAGGUUGGGAAUCCUCCAGUAGACUGUGUCAGAGUCAGUUAGGAAGAGUCAGUUUGGUCAGUUUGGUUCCCCCCGCACCUCUCUCUCUCUCUCUCUCUCUCUCUCUCUCUCUCUCUCUCUCUCUCUCUCUCUAUAUAUAAUUUUAAAUACUCAUUUUUACAUCCCUAAAAUAUCAAUGACUUCCCUUCUUCUCUUUCCAUGGUUCAUUUUACAGGUCAUACAACCCUGCAUAUUUUACAAAAACAAUACCAUUCAGUAUGCGCUUAUUGCAUCCAUCAAAACUUAUUUACACUGUUGAAUUCAUCUUAAUGCUGCCAAUGUUUUCAGCUAUACACAAUUAUUUCCCAUAUAUUUAAUAAACGUUUUCCAGUCUCCUCUAAAUGUAUGUUCUUCUUGUUCUUUUAUUAUAUAUGUUAAGUCAGCAAGCUGCGCAUAUUCUUUCAACAAGUUGCCAUUCUUCUUUGGUUGGGACCUCGCUUGUUUUCCAUUUUGGGGCUAGCAAAACAUAGGCCGCAGUAAGGUAAAGGUAAAGGUAAAGGACCCCUGACAGUUAAGUCCAGUUGCGAACGACUGUGGGUUUGCAGCACUCAUCUCAUUUUACUGGCCGAGGGACCCGGCGUUUGUCUGCAGACAGUUUUUCCGGGUCAUGUGGCCAUCAUGACUAAGCAGCUUCUGGCGAAAACAGAGCAGUGCACAGAAACACCGUUUACCUUCCCCCGGAGUGGUACCUAUUUAUCUACUUCCACUUUUUGGCGUGCUUUCAAACUGCUAGGUUGGCAGGAGCUGGGACCAAACAACAGGAGCUCACCCCAUCAUGGGGAUUCGAACUGCUGACUUUCCUAGUGGCAAGCCCAAGAGGCAAGCCCAAAAAUAACCCUUUUUGACACCUGGGAAUUUCAGUCUGAAUUAUUCCCGACAGAAAGGACUCCGGGUUUUAGGGGGAAAGUACUUUUACAGUGGUACCUCUGGAUACGAACUGGAUCCGUUCUGGAGCCCUGUUUGCAUCCUGAAGCGAACGCAACCCACGUCUGCGCAGGUCACGAUUCGCCACUUCUGCGCAUGCGUGUGACAUCAUUUUGACUGUCUGCGCAUGCGCGAGCGGCAAAACUGGAAGUAACGUGUUCUGUUACUUCCAGGUUGCCACGGAGCGCAACCCGAAAGCGCUCAACCUGAAGCAACUUCAACCCAAGGUAUGACUGUAAACAUUUUUUUUUCUUCAGUUCAUUAUGGAUCAUUUCCAAAUACUCUUUUACCCUUUUACAAGUUCACCGCAUAUAAAAGAUCGUGCUAGUUUGGUCCUCAUUCUCUUCCUUGUUGUGUCCUACAAAGAUGGCACUGAUGGCUAAGGAUGAGGAAGCUGAUAAGCAGGACAACCCCCUGGACUUGUAGGCAGACAUGUGGGAGACUACAGAGACUGAGGUUGGUAAGGCAGGGUCUCAUUCACUCACAGGGUACUUUACAAUAUAAAAACACACUGUAAUAACAAACUAAAACAAUAACCCACCAAACACGGUUUGAAAGGCCAUAGAUCAUUUAAUUAGCCAAAGGCCUGGAAGAAGAGAAAUGUUUUUGCCUAGCAUCUAAAGAUGUUUAGUGAGGGCACCAGGCAAGCCUCCCUAGGGAUAGCACAAUCAUGAUUACCAUGAUUUAAAGACUACAUAGCUUAUAUUAUUUCACUGCCCCUUUAAAAAACCUACAACAUUCCCUGUGGGGAGAGUCAGAUCCUGCUUGCAGAUUUCCUAGGGAAUCUGAUGGGCCCCUGUGAGGUUAGAUCUUUAGGAUCCUGGACUAGAUGGGCCACUGGCCUGAUGCAUCUGCAGGGCUAUUCUUCUGUCCUCAUCCUCUUUCUUCCAGCUGUGAAAGGCUAUUAGCCACGUUAGUUAAAUAGGUUCAGAUAAGCAUAGGAACAGAGGAAACUGCCUUACACAGAGUCAGGCCAUUGGUCCAUCUAGUUCAGAUUUCUCUACAGUGGUACCUCGGUUUAAGAACAGUCCGGUUUAAGAACAAUUUGGUUUACAAACUCCACAAAACUGGAAGUUGUGUCUUGGUUUGGGAAUUUUACCUUGGUCUAACUACAAAAUCCGAAUGGUGGAAGGGCACCGGCGGUGGGAGGCCUCAUUAGGGAAAGCACGCCUUGGUUUAAGAAUGGUUUCAGUUUAAGAACGGUCUUCCGGAACGGAUUAAGUUCGUGAAUCGAGGUACCACUGUAUAUUCAUUUUCUGUCUGUCUGUCUCCAUGGUUUCAGGCAAGCAAAAUUCCCAGUCCUACCUGGUGAUUCUAGGGAUUGAACUAUGGACCUUCUGCAUGAAAAAUGCAUGCGCACCAGCUAAGCUAUAUUCCUUCCUUAUUAACUUCUCAUGAAGGAGAAGACAAUCAGUGGCUACUGGUCACAAGGACUAUGUUCUGCCUCCACUGUAUGCCUCUGAAUCCUAGUUUCUAGGAAUCACAGGUGGGAAGAAUCAUAAAAUAGAAUUGUAGAGUUGGAAGGGACCCUGAGGGUUAUCUAGUCAAACACCCUGCUAUUUAUUUACUUACCUACCUACCUACCUACCUACCUACCACUCUAAACCCAAAGGUCUCAGGGCAGUUCACAGAAUAAAAUCAAAAUAUAAAAUCACAAAAUACAUAAUCAAAAUAAAAACAUCAACCCAAUAACCCCGCUGGCAACCCCCCCCCCCCCCCAGCAUUUUAAAAGGGCAUAAGAUGUAAAUCAGAUCAACCGAAGGCCUGGUUAAAAAGGAACGUUUUUGCCUGGUGCCUAAAGGUGUGUAAUGAAGGGGCCAGGCAAACUUCUCUGCAGAGAGCAAUCCACAGACGGGGAGCCACUGCCGAGAAGGCCCCGUUCUUGAACUGCCACCCUCCGGACCUCUGGAGGAGGAGGCACACGAAAAAGGCCUCAGAAGAUGAUCUCAGGGUCCAGGUAGGUUCAUAUGGAAAGAGGCGGUCCUUGAGGUAUUGCAGUCCUGAGCUAUUUAAGGCUUUAUAGAUCAAAACCAGCACUUUGAAUUGGGUCUGGAAACUAAGUGGUAGCCAGUGCAGUCGGACCGGGAUCGGUGCAAUAGGUUCAAACCAUCUUGCUCCAGUGAGCAACCUGGCCGCUGAAUUCUGCACCAGCUGAAGUUUCUGAACCAUCUUCAGAGGUAGCCCUACAUAUAACACAUUGCAGUAAUCUAACCUUGAUGUUACCAGAGCAUAGGCAACAGUAGUUAGGCUGUCCCUGUCACCAGAGCAAGAUGGAACCAUUAAUGAGCACUCUUUUUGGAGGGGGGUUUAAAAAUUAUUACUUUUUUACAUUUUUUUUUACAUUUGAACUUUAACAAUUUCAAACAUUAAAAUAAAAGGUUCUUUUGUACCUUCAGACCUCCUUCCUUCCCUCCAUGGGCUCCAUAUUUAAGAUUAAAUUUGCUGCAUCUUUUACCAUUGUCCAUCUGUUCUAUUUCCAUAGUUAAAGGUAAAGGUACCCCUGACCUUUAGGUAUAAAUAAUGAUGAUGAUGAUGAUGAUGAUGAUGAUCAUUAUCAUAUCCAGCAGAGCUCUUCUUGUGCCAUUUUACAUUGUGAACUGUCCUGUGAUCUUCUACUAUCCAAUUCAAUACAAAUUGAAUAAAUGACCCAUGGGGUCCCUUCCAAUUCUACAAUUCUAUGAUUCUUUGGGACGUGGGUGGCGCUGUGGGUUAAACCACAGAGCCUAGGACUUGCCGAUCAGAAGGUCGGUGGUUCGAAUCCCCACAACGGGGUGAGCUCCCUUUGCUCGGCCCCUGCUCCUGCCAACCUAGCAGUUUGAAAGCACACAGUGCAAGUAGAUAAAUAGGUACCGCUCCAGCGGGAAGGUGAACUACUUCUCCGUGUGCUGCUCUGGUUUGCCAGAAGCGGCUUACUCCUGCUGGCCACAUGACCCGGAAGCUGUACGCCGGCUCCCUUGGCCAAUAAAGCGAGAUGAGCGCCGCAACUCCAGAGUUGUCUGCGACUGGACCUAAUAGUCAGGGGUCCCUUUACCUUUUUAUGAUUCUUUACUUCAUUGUCUCCUUUUCCCUCUAGUGGCCAAAAGGAGGAACAACCUCUACCAACCAAGCGGUGGAUGAAAAACGUACCGUACAUCAUUUGGCAGCUAGAGGCUUGUCAGGAGUGGGAAUGGAAUGUCCCAGCAACCAGACAAUGGUGCUGGCUUCUCAUGUUUGGAAUGCAUGACUCAUCCAGCUUCAGGCCAAACUGUUCUUGGAUUUGGAUGUUCCACUCAGGUACUCUGCGGUGAGAUGCCAGGAAGCCACAGGCUUAUGUGGGGCAUGUUGAACCUCACCUGUUGAUGUUGAAGUUAGAACAUCCCAGAAUCCAGAAGCAAUUGGCCAAUGACACUCCAGCAGCUGGAAGAAGACUGAGGAACUUCUUCUUUCCAGGUUUAGAGGAGUAUGCUGGAUGCUCAGGUGAGAGGAGACCUGUGAUCAGUUAGUCACAACAUCAAACAAAGCUCUGCAUGCCCAUAAACAGAGAAUUGUUACUUGAGAAUGAGGAUAGAUCUGUCAGCAAGACUAUGGACAUAAUAUCUAUCAUUGGGCUUCCAAUAGGCAUGCUCACUAACUAAGCUACAUUCCUUCUCUAUUAACUUCUCGUGACUCCUGGUCACAAUCGCUAUGCUCCGCCUGCACAGUUGGGGACAAUAUGCCUCUGAAUACUAGUUGCGAGGAAUCCCAAGUCUUGUUGUUGUUUAGUCAUUUAGUCGUGUCUGACUCUUCAUGACCCCAUGGACCAGAGCACGCCAGGCACUCCUGUCUUCCACUGCCUCCCGCAGUUUGGUCACCAUCUGCAGUGAUCAUGAAGCCCAAGAAAGUAAAGUCUCUCACUGCCUCCAUUUCUUCCCCUUCUAUUUGCCAGGAGGUGAUGGGACCAGUGGCCAUGAUCUUCGGUUUUUUGAUGUUGAGCUUCAGACCAUAUUUUGCGCUCUCCUUUUUCACCCUCAAUAAAAGGUUCUUUAAUUCCUCCUCACUUUCUGCCAUCAAGGUUGUGUCAUCUGCAUAUCUCAGGUUGUUGAUAUUUCAUCCGGCAAUCUUAACUCCGGCUAGGGAUUCAUCCGGC
rnacentral:lncRNA from 1 species